UGGAUCAUUACUCACCGUGAU
rnacentral:rRNA from 2 species